GCCUGUUUAGCUCAAAUUGGUAGAGCAUUGGUUUUGUAAACCGAUGGUUGGCGGUUCAACUCCGUUAACAGGCC
rnacentral:tRNA from 1 species